rnacentral:rRNA from 1 species
AUGGACGCCGUGUCCUCAUGCUCGCCGCUGCGCAUUGUGAUCGUCCCGUGGCUCGCAUUCGGCCACAUGCUCCCGUACCUGGAACUCUCCGAGCGGCUCGCCGCGCGGGGCCACCGCGUGUCCUAUGUCUCCACGCCGCGCAAUCUCGCCCGCCUCCCGCUCCCGCUGCGCCCCGCGGCGGCGCCGCGCGUGGACCUCGUCGCGCUCCCUCUCCCGCGCGUCGACGACCUCGCCGACGGCGCCGAGUCCACCAACGACGUCCCCGACGACGACCGCGAGCUCCACUGGAAGGCCUUCGACGGCCUCGCCGCGCCGUUCGCGGAGUUCCUGGCCGCCGCGUGCGCCGACGAGACCACGCGGCCUCACUGGAUCAUCGCCGACUCUUUCCACCACUGGGCAGCCGCCGCCGCCCUAGAGCACCAGGUGCCAUGCGCGAUGCUUCUCCCGACCGCUGCGUUGAUCGCCACCGCGCCCCACCUGCCGCCGGAGCACCGUGGAGCACGUGAUCUUCCCCGUUACGAGCAGGAGGUGAUGGACCCGGCUUACAACAACUAUGGCAUAUCGGGUAUGUCCAUCAUCCGGCGCUUUAACUUGACAAAAGACAGGUGCACCGUCGCGGCCAUGCGGAGCUGCAUCGAGUGGGAACCCGAGUCCUUCCCACUGGCGGCGCCGCUCCUCGGCAAGCCGGUCGUUCCCCUCGGCCUUCUGCCGCCGUCAGCCGACGGAGCCCGCCGUGCCGCUGCCAAAGGAGCAGAGCAUGCCACCGUGCGCUGGCUGGACGCGCAGCCUCCCGACUCCGUUGUUUACGUCGCCCUAGGAAGCGAGGUGCCGCUGCGCGUGGAGCAGGUGCACGAGCUGGCCUUCGGGCUGGAGCUCGCCGGGACGCGCUUCCUCUGGGCCCUGAGAAAGCCUAGCGGUGCCGCUGUACUCGACGACGAUGGCGUGGACAUGCUUCCUCCUGGUUUCCAAGAGCGCACUCGCGGCCAGGGGCUGGUGACCACGGGAUGGGUUCCUCAGGUAAACAUCCUGGGGCACACGGCCGUGGGCGGGUUCCUGACACAUUGCGGCCGGAACUCGCUGAUCGAGGGCCUCAUGUUCGGGCACCCGCUUGUCAUGCUGCCCAUCUUCGGCGACCAAGGGCCAAACGCGCGGCAAAUGGAGGCGAAGAACGUGGGGUUGCAGGUGGCGAGGAAUCAGGACGACGGGUCGUUCGACCGCCACGGCGUCGCGACAGCGGUCCGGGCCGUCAUGGUUGACGAAGAGGCCAGGAGGGGCUUCGUGGCAGGUGCAGCGAAGAUGCAGGCGGUAGUAGCUGAUACGGAACUUCACGAUAGGUACAUCGACGAAUUUUUCGAGCACCUUAGAUCUUACUACGCCGCUUCAUGUGCAAACUGA